rnacentral:rRNA from 1 species
UUCCGGUUGAUCCUGCCGGACCUGACUGCUAUCGGAUUGAUACUAAGCCAUGCGAGUCUUUGCAGUAAUGCAAGGCAUACGGCUCAGUAACACGUAGUCAACCUACCCUAUGGACGAGAAUAAUCUCGGGAAACUGAGCAUAAUUCUUGAUAGAUCAUAAUGCCUGGAAUGGUUUAUGGUUAAAAUGAUUCGUCGCCAUAGGAUGGGACUGCGGCCUAUCAGCUUGUUGGUGAGGUAAUGGCCCACCAAGGCGAUUACAGGUACGGGCUCUGAGAGGAGAAGCCCGGAGAUGGGUACUGAGACACGGACCCAGGCCCUAUGGGGCGCAGCAGGCGAGAAAACUUUGCAAUGUGCGAAAGCACGACAAGGUUAAUCCGAGUGAUUUCUGCUAAAGAAAUCUUUUGCCAGUCGUAAAACCGCUGGUGAAUAAGGGGUGGGCAAGUUCUGGUGUCAGCCGCCGCGGUAAAACCAGCACCUCAAGUGGUCAGGAUGAUUAUUGGGCCUAAAGCAUCCGUAGCCGGCUUUGUAAGUUUUCGGUUAAAUCCAUGUGCUCAACGCAUGGGCUGCCGAAAAUACUGCAUAGCUAGGGAGUGGGAGAGGUAGACGGUACUCAGUAGGUAGGGGUAAAAUCCUUUGAUCUAUUGAUGACCACCUGUGGCGAAGGCGGUCUACCAGAACACGUUCGACGGUGAGGGAUGAAAGCUGGGGGAGCAAACCGGAUUAGAUACCCGGGUAGUCCCAGCUGUAAACGAUGCAGACUAGAUGAUGCAUUGGCAUAAUAGCCAUUGCAGUGUCUCAGGGAAGCCGUUAAGUCUGCCGCCUGGGAAGUACGUACGCAAGUAUGAAACUUAAAGGAAUUGGCGGGGGAGCACCACAAGGGGUGAAGCCUGCGGUUCAAUUGGAUUCAACGCCGG